rnacentral:rRNA from 1 species
UACGGGGGGGGCAAGCGUUGUUCGGAAUUACUGGGCGUAAAGGGCUCGUAGGCGGCCAACUAAGUCGUACGUGAAAUCCCUCGGCUUAACCGGGGAACUGCGUCUGAUACUGGAUGGCUUGAGUUCGGGAGAGGGAUGCGGAAUUCCAGGUGUAGCGGUGAAAUGCGUAGAUAUCUGGAGGAACACCGGUGGCGAAGGCGGCAUCCUGGACCGAUACUGACGCUGAUGAGCGAAAGCCAGGGGAGCAAACGGG